GCUCUAGUACCACUUCCGUAGGUGAUCACGGUUGCAUUUAGCACAUGCAACAAGCCCUUUAAACCCCUAGAUAGCUCUAGUGGACGAGUGUGUUCUCGUGAGGGUUUGUAGAAGAUGUACCCACAAAAUCCCAAGUCGUGAUGAAUCCACAAUUCUCUAUUCUUGCAAAUAAUGCACCAAAAACAACCUAAAAUGAUAGAAAAUCACUUCAUCACCUCAACUCGUGACCUGCACAGAAAAACACUAAAAACACAUCAAAAGACACUAAACACUUAAGUACAACCAACCAAUUUAAGUGGAAAUGAAGGCCUAUAAGUGUGUAUAAAUACCACUUAUCACACCCCCAAACUUAAACUGAUGCUUGUCCUCAAGCGUCAACGACACUAUACAAUAAUACAAUGCAAUGCAUGAAUGCAACUACGUGAUGAAUGAGUGAACUAUGAAGUAAUUGCCUUGCCAAUUAUAAUGCCUCAGAUUGUGCUAAUGUUCUCGAAUUUCACUUCUCUCGCUACCAAGUCAAUUACUCUUCUAUUUACAAGUGUGGAGUGCCAGUGUGUGCAAGCAUGCUCUUUUAUUGAGACAAGACAAAAACUACUACUCCCACAGAAUCCCAAUCAAGAAUCGUAAAAGUUUAGAACUAACACCCCGUCACUCAAGUCC
rnacentral:lncRNA from 1 species